GUAACGUUCGUUUUGGUUUAGCUAUUCAGUUCUGCAAUGUCAGCUAAAUAACUAGCUAGCUAUGCCACACGUGAAAUAGCUGGCUAGCUAACUGAUCGCUUAACGUUAGCCAUUGUUGUUAGAACUGGCUAACCAUGUUGUAUUUUGUUUCAGUUCGCGCCUCAGACGUGUUGGUCUUAGUUAUUAUCAUUAAACCACGCCAACUGUAACUAAUUAAUUGGCUAGCUUACUAGAUAGAUGUUGGCUUUGAUUGCUAGCUAGCUAGCUCUCUUUGCCAACCGAACUAAAGUUGGCUAGUUAGCUACAGUGCAAGAGCGAAGUAUCAAGACGGGGUAUAGUCAUUAGUGCAAACGGUUGCAAAACGUUUCGCAACGAAAACGAGUUUAUAUUGGACACAGGUAGGCCAUGGCUCGCGGUCAACAGAAGAUUCAAUCCCAGCAAAAGAACGCCAAGGCGGCAGCUGCUAAGAAGAAGGGAGCGGCAGCAGACCAGAAGACUGCAGCCAAGGCAGCGCUGGUCCACACCUGUCCUGUCUGUCGGACGCAGAUGCCGGACCCGAAGACGUUCAAGCAGCACUUUGAGAGCAAGCAUCCCAAGUCCCCAAUGCCCCCAGAGCUGGAUGAUGUUGAGGCUUAAAAGACCAACACACACAAUGGACCUACAGCUGGACACACGAUGACCACGAUUAGAGCGCUGCGACUGGAACUUAAUGGCGUCAAGAGACAAAACACUGAGACCCCUGGACAUGGGUGGGGGAAUAUUUGUGACAAUGACCUAAAAAGGGGGGCAGAAGCACACCAGCACCCCAUCUUAUAUGUCCAACCACCCCUCAACUUCAGACUCUGUGGAAGCACCCAUCUUAAUUAUAUCAGCCCACUCUACCUACAUCUCUUUUCCCUAUGCUGCUUCCUUCAUUAAUACCUGAUUCAAUAACAUCUAGACUGUUACACAUCUAAAAGUGUAACGGUGUUACUGUUUUUGCAACUUUUUCUCAGUUGUGUACCGCUGUCUUACUUUUACGCCCAACUCUUUUCUAUACCUCCUCCUAUACACUUGUGCAAAUCAUUUCUGCUUUCUUUGAGAAUGGUGUCAUAGUGGAAAGGAUUUGUUAAUUGCCCAAGACUGAGCCUUGUUCUGCCUGUAAAAGGCCCUGGUCGAAACAGUGCCAAAAUCACUUUUGAUAGUCGCCGGGUCCACGUUGUAACAAUUGUAUUUUGCAUUUGACCGUUUCCAAGAAAUGUAGCAAUAUAUAUGAAAGCAUUCCUCUGCCUAUUUGAUCCAUUCUGAAGUAAAGCAGUGAAUACGUUUUGUCUGUGUGUGAGAAUAUGUAUGCCUUCUAAUGCUGGCAGAAAAUGUGUUACUUCCAAAUGCAAGUUAAACGCCAUUCCGUCUAUACUGAUACCAGAUUAAUGCAUACUUAUAAGUAUUUAAUGUAUUUCCAAUAUACUGGAAUGCUAUGUAGCUGAAGAGGGGUGACACUGUCUAGGAUAGGAGUGUCAAUCAGUUUCUGGAGGUCUGUGUUCACUGGCAUUUCCUCUCACUUCUGCAUCAAAUCAACCUCUGCAAUAUAUAUUCUAGUUCUUUUAUUACAAAUAUAGCAGUACACAGUCCUCCAUAAAUAUGUUGACAAUGACAAAUUCCUGUGUAUUGGAUCCUCUGUACAUAGAAAAACGACAAAAAUAUGACAUUUACCAUUGCUACUAACUUGUACUGGUUAAAAGUAUAAUUAAAGAAAUGCAUAAAAAGUAGUAAUUUUUGUCACACACUUAUGGUCAAUAUAUUUAGUGUUUUAAUUGAACCAUGUGUAGUACAUCUAAAAGAGACAAUGAGAAAUUCAUGGUUCAACAAUACAACAGACAUCAAAAGGGUAGAAAUUUAGCAUUGCACUUAUGUCACAGUACUUUACAG
rnacentral:lncRNA from 1 species